rnacentral:rRNA from 1 species
AGCUCCAAUAGCGUAUACUAAAGUUGUUGCGGUUAAAAAGCUCGUAGUUGGAUCUUGGCAUGUGAACGCGAGGUCGCUUUACUGAGUGAACUUUGUGGAGCCUUCUUCCAUUUGGUCGGUGUGUUUGUGCUCUUAAUUGAGUGCCACUUGCUACCAGAAAUUUUACCUUGAAAAAAUUAGAGUGUUCAAAGCAGACCUUUUUGUGUCUGAAUAUUCGUGCAUGGAAUAAUAAAAUAGGAAUUCGGUGCUAUUUUAUUGGUUUUCGGAACUCGAGUUAAUGAUUAAGAGGGACAGACGGGGGCAUCCGUACUCAGCCGAUAGAGGUGAAAUUCUUGGAUCGUCUGAAGACGAGCAACUGCGAAAGCAUUUGCCAAGAAUGUUUUCU